AACUCUAUAAACCUAUUUCUAUAAGAUUUUAAACCAGUUCUACAAUUCUGUUAUGAAAGGACUUUUUCAGGUGGCCAAAGGGCUAACCAGAAAACUCAAUAUAUUUAAUUGAACCAAAUAAAAAUGCGGGACUUUUUCCUUAAGGACCUCGUUUCCUACAUAUUCCUGCUAUUGCAUAUUGCGUUAUAGGCAGGUC